UUUAUGGAGAGUUUGAUCCUGGCUCAGGAUGAACGCUGGCGGCGUGCCUAAUACAUGCAAGUCGAGCGAACGGACGAGAAGCUUGCUUCUCUGAUGUUAGCGGCGGACGGGUGAGUAACACGUGGAUAACCUACCUAUAAGACUGGGAUAACUUCGGGAAACCGGAGCUAAUACCGGAUAAUAUUUUGAACCGCAUGGUUCAAAAGUGAAAGACGGUCUUGCUGUCACUUAUAGAUGGAUCCGCGCUGCAUUAGCUA
rnacentral:rRNA from 1 species